ACCCAACCCCCAACCGCAGCCCAGCCCCAGCCCGUUCCCCUCCCCACCCAUGCCGCUGCCGCCGGAGCCACCCACUGCCCCGCCUCCCUCACACAGACCUCGCCGCCGGCUAUGGCCUUCACCAACAGCCGCCGCUCCGACCCUCUCCCCCUCCCGUCCCCUUAUCACAAGACAAGAGAAGAGAAGAGGGAGGGAAAUCGAUCGCGACCGAGCAGGUCAAGCGGCGACAAUGGCGCGCCUAGACCCGCCAGUGCCGUCAUCGUCGAGCUGGGCUGGGCGGCACAGUUCGGUAGAGUAGGAAUGAGGGGGCGGUGGGACGCCUCCCCUGCUCGAGCUGCUCCAAGCGAGCGACCACAGCGCCGGAUCCACCUCCACAACCACCCACCGGCGGCCACGGAAGGUUAGGGACCUUCGUCCGGUCCAUGUGCUUCUUCUCCAUGGAGCUCCGACACCGCAGCAGCUGCAUCCAUGGAAGUGCCGACGCCAUGGACCUCGUCAAUCAUGGUUUGCUGCUACCGCCGACCGUUUCCCUGACAAGUUGACACCAAAGCCACCAUUGUCAAAGUCGCCGUUGGCCGGCGUUGCCACUGGUCGCUGCUCCACGCAUCUUGUCGGUGCUGCGAGGCGAUGCCAUCUGCAUCUGUUGCUGCAGCCUGGGAGGUGGCAGGGUCUCCAGGUGAUGCCCUCUUUGCUGCCCAAUCGUUGAAGAUGCCAUAGGACGAGAUCCUCUGCUGCUGCUGUGUCUCGUGGUUGAAGAAGGGGUGUGCUGGGAAGAGGAGGCAGUGUUGAGAGUGCUCGAUAUGGAACAGGACGAGCUUGGGCUGCAUCGGCUCUGGUUCUCAACCUCCAACAUGAGUCCCUUUUUUUCGUGCCUCGAACGCCACGAGUCAUCAUGGGCACUGCAGAUGCGGAGGAGUUUUUCCGGGGCGAUUUGCUUGUUCCCAGCCGCGCUGGUGUCAACUACCUCGAGCCACUAUGACCAUCCCAACCACGCUCACCCCCCUGAAUGAACUAUUUGUGGAUCUGCAAAGGGGGAUUCAAUUAAUUUUCAGUUGUAGAAAAGGGAGAAGGGGGAUUCAAUUAAUUUUCCUCCUCAAGAUCAAAGAAACAAAAUCUUUGUGGCGAUGAUAGAAGGGGUUCACGACUUCACGUUAAUACACAGACUAUUGGUAAGGGCAUUAAAACAUAUAUCUGGUGUGAAAUGGUCGUACAUGCUUGAUUAGAAUAUUUUCAAGUGUUGUAGGUGUACGGCUGUGGGGAAACAUUUUCAUGGUCUAAUUUUCUAAUUAAUGUAUGCACGAGACAUGAAUCUUGGAUUCUAAACUUUUUCCUCGAUGUUUGGGCUUCCUCUAAAUUUUCGUAUAUUGCACACAACACAACACAUAGAUUCAUGUCUUCCAUGCUUGCUGUCUUGUAACAAACAGAUGUUGGGAUGGAUACUAAUUUUCUAAAUGAUUUGAACUCAUGUUGUUUUCUA